rnacentral:lncRNA from 1 species
AGAACGCGCCUAAAGCAAAUAGGAAGGUUCAAAUUAAUAACAACGUUUACGAGGGCCAUGGAAAAUUCAGUUGAUGGCACGCUUCGAUUUUAAAGGGUUAGAAUUAUUUACAUGAGGGCCAUGGCUUAUUUAAUGAAAAUGACACCUCAAAUUUUCUAUAAAAGCUAACUAGUCUUGUGAGGGCCAUUGGCUUAGGGGUUUUGUUUGGUAUGGCACGCCUCAAUUUAUUUUAAAAGGUUUAUUAUUCGAAGUUGUUAUAAUCAGGUUACAAGAAAUGCACCCCGAAUUUGGGAAUUACGUACCAUGACUAUACCACGGGAACCGUACCCAUAGUCACGAUAGUUAAUUAAUCGCGCCUAAAGCAAGCUAGGAUGUUCAUGGAUUAUUUAACUUUCUAAGGUUUGAAAUUACAUGGGGAGAUUUCAGUUAUGGAUGUAUUGAUUUACAAGAACACAGAACCUCCUCAAAAUGAGAAUGAUUGCCUAACUUCAGCAUUUGCAUACCUUACAGAUGUGUUUUAAAAAUAGCACAAACGAAUCCUUGUAUGACAUUAUUGGAACAACUACCAAGAAAAUGACUCCAACUCAAAAUUCCAUCUGAUUUUUAUCAGGCACAAAACUUAGCAAUUGCAUAAGUAAUCAACCAUUCUACUGCAAUUUAUUCAACCAAUUGGACGCAAUCAGACUAUGAGAGAGGUCAUUUGCCCAAAAUUCAGGACAAAAGAAGAUUAACUCAACUCACCAAAUCUUUCAACGCUAUUUUCUUUUCCGAAAUUCGACCGCAUGGAGGUUUACAUACAAACGUGGAAUCGAGAACACAAAAGUUCCAGAAAAAAAAAAAAGCAUUAUCAAGCAUAACACAUAAAACUUAUCCACGAAUGAAAUUAAAUGGCUAAAAAUAAGCGUAAGAAGUAGGAUUUCAAACAAAAAAUAAAGACUGAAAUUGUGAAGAAAAGAAGAACCUGUGAAAGUGCGGAAAGGCAUAACCUAUGCACGUUCUUAUUUAUUUAGAGAAUAUCAAUGGGAGUAAGUGUCAUUUUGCUAUUAUCAAUAGUACUGUAACAAUUAGUAGCACAAAAUUCUCAAAACCGAACAAUUAAGAAUUAUACACAGAGAAACAGAGAAAGAUAAAUGAAACAUUAGAUAACACAAGAUUCUAGCAGAAUAGAUGAAUAAUAACAGGAAAACAAAAGGGAGACUUUAACAAAAUAAAAAUAAAAACUGCACCUUGUUCCUAGUCAACUGAAUCUUGUUCUGAAUAUCGAUAUUGUUCCAAAACUUUGUUGAUUCUCAGCUAAACAAAUCCAGAACAGCCGUAGAUGGCCAAUUAAAAAUCUAAGAUGAGGAAUGGAGCUUAGCUACUCAACAAGCGCCACAGCAGCAGGCAAAUCGCGGAUUCAUUCAAUACAUGCAAACCCAGAAACAAAUGGAGAGCUCUCUCAAAUCACCAAAGGAAAACAGCUCCAGCCCUUUUGAAUUUCCAAUGUAAAAUCGAUUGAAAUCCACUAUUCUUCUUUAUGUUUUCAGAUCUUUUUUCUUAAUUUUCGAAUUCCGGAUCUGUCUUUACAUCUAUUUCGUGUGUGUUAAGAGUGCGAGUGUGUGAAAUCUGUGUGUUGAGGGAAUGAAGAUGAGGAAGAAAGUCCAGAAACGGCGUCCUAGGGUUCAGCCAUGGGAUUUCUGAUUCCUUGUGUUUUUGGUGUUGUGAGUGAAAGAUGGAGAGGAAAAUCCUCCCAGAUGCGCCGCUGCUC